UUUUACAAAUCCACAAUACGCUUGUCAUAGCUGCUGCAAGUAUUUGCACAAACAUUUUCUAAAUCCCCAGCAUCGCCGGCCACAACAGCUGCUCCUUAAUCACUUUUUGCAAAGAUUCAAGUUAGACAAAUGGAUGCUGCAGGAACAUUUUCAUAUGCAACACGUUGAAGAUGAAGAUGCUUUUUAUUUCUUCAUCAUCAUCAUCUACCAUGUGUUUUAUUUGGUCAAUUACAAGUGUAAUUUCUUUGAUUAAAAACCCAAAUGGACAUCAUGCCAAUCCGUUGAUGAAGGAGACCAAGUGCCAUCAUAUGAAGCAAAAAAAAAAAAGUAAUCAGGUCGAAUUUGCAACGGAGGCAUCAUAUGCAGUUUGUGCAACGUGUAUUUGCGGAGUAUGAGAGUGCGAAUUACGAGAAGCUUGUAACCUCCAUUGAAGCUCAUCCCAACAAAGCAGUUCAAGAAGUAUUGAAGUCCUUUUUGGCUAAAAUUUACAAGAGACAAGCGUAGAUUUCCCUUGUAAGACAAAGACCAACAUUGUUUGAAGAUGCAAUAGGAGCUAGCUAGAGUCCUGAUUUCUGUGUGGAGCUGAAUUUUUCAAAAUCAAAUUUCUUACCAUCUCUUUUUUAGGGGGUGAUUAAUCUUGUUGUACUUUAUUUUGUAAAUUGUCUUGUGAUACAGUUUUUUGUCAGGGUUAAUAGGUUUUUACCCUCUGUCAUAUGAGAUCUUUCUCUCCUUUCCAAUCGAUCCAUCCUCUUCUCUCUUA